rnacentral:rRNA from 1 species
UGGGGAAUAUUGGACAAUGGGCGAAAGCCUGAUCCAGCAAUACCGCGUGUGUGAAGAAGGCCUGAGGGUUGUAAAGCACUUUUAAUCGGGAGGAACAUCUGCGGGCCAAUACCCCGUAGUCUGACAUUACCGAUAGAAAAAGCACCGGCUAACUCCGUGCCAGCAGCCGCGGUAAUACGGAGGGUGCAAGCGUUAAUCGGAAUUACUGGGCGUAAAGCGUGCGUAGGCGGUUGCUUAAGUCAGAUGUGAAAGCCCCGGGCUUAACCUGGGAACUGCAUUUGAUACUGGGCGACUAGAGUUGAGUAGAGGAGAGUGGAAUUUCAGGUGUAGCGGUGAAAUGCGUAGAGAUCUGAAGGAACACCAGUGGCGAAGGCGACUCUCUGGACUCAAACUGACGCUGAGGUACGAAAGCGUGGGUAGCAAACAGG